GAAUUCGCCCUUAGAGUUUGAUCCUGGCUCAGGACGAACGCUGGCGGCGCGCCUAACACAUGCAAGUCGAACGAGCGAGAGGAGGUUUACUUUCUCAAGCGAGUGGCGAACGGGUGAGUAACGCGUGAGGAACCUGCCUCAAAGAGGGGGACAACAGUUGGAAACGACUGCUAAUACCGCAUAAGCCCACGACCCGGCAUCGGGUAGAGGGAAAAGGAGCAAUCCGCUUUGAGAUGGCCUCGCGUCCGAUUAGCUAGUUGGUGAGGUAAUGGCCCACCAAGGCGACGAUCGGUAGCCGGACUGAGAGGUUGAACGGCCACAUUGGGACUGAGACACGGCCCAGACUCCUACGGGAGGCAGCAGUGGGGAAUAUUGCACAAUGGGGGAAACCCUGAUGCAGCGACGCCGCGUGGAGGAAGAAGGUCUUCGGAUUGUAAACUCCUGUUGUUGAGGAAGAUAAUGACGGUACUCAACAAGGAAGUGACGGCUAACUACGUGCCAGCAGCCGCGGUAAAACGUAGGUCACAAGCGUUGUCCGGAAUUACUGGGUGUAAAGGGAGCGCAGGCGGGAAGGCAAGUUGGAAGUGAAAUCCAUGGGCUCAACCCAUGAACUGCUUUCAAAACUGUUUUUCUUGAGUAGUGCAGAGGUAGGCGGAAUUCCCGGUGUAGCGGUGGAAUGCGUAGAUAUCGGGAGGAACACCAGUGGCGAAGGCGGCCUACUGGGCACCAACUGACGCUGAGGCUCGAAAGUGUGGGUAGCAAACAGGAUUAGAUACCCUGGUAGUCCACACUGUAAACGAUGAUUACUAGGUGUUGGAGGAUUGACCCCUUCAGUGAAGCAAAUAAACACAAUAAGUAAUCCACAUGGGGGAGUACGACCGCAAGGUUGAAACUCAAAGGAAUUGACGGGGGCCCGCACAAGCAGUGGAGUAUGUGGUUAAAUUCGACGCAACGCGAAGAACCUUACCAAGUCUUGACAUCCCUAUGACGAUGCUGGAAACAGUAUUUCUCUUCGGAGCAAGGAGACAGGUGGUGCAUGGUUGUCGUCAGCUCGUGUCGUGAGAUGUUGGGUUAAGUCCCGCAACGAGCGCAACCCUUAUGGUCAGUUACUACGCAAGAGGACUCUGGCCAGACUGCCGUUGACAAAACGGAGGAAGGUGGGGAUGACGUCAAAUCAUCAUGCCCUUUAUGACUUGGGCUACACACGUACUACAAUGGCGUUAAACAAAGAGAAGCAAGACCGCGAGGUGGAGCAAAACUCAAAAACAACGUCCCAGUUCGGACUGCAGGCUGCAACUCGCCUGCACGAAGUCGGAAUUGCUAGUAAUCG
rnacentral:rRNA from 1 species